rfam:Parastrongyloides trichosuri strain KNP genome assembly, scaffold: PTRK_scaffold0000001
CAAAAGGCCCUCCUUAGGGCCACCAAUUAUCACCUUAUUUCGAAA